AUUGAACGCUGGCGGCAUGCCUUACACAUGCAAGUCGAACGGUAGCAGGUCUUCGGAUGCUGACGAGUGGCGAACGGGUGAGUAAUACAUCGGAACGUGCCCGAGAGUGGGGGAUAACGAAGCGAAAGCUUUGCUAAUACCGCAUACGAUCUCAGGAUGAAAGCAGGGGACCGCAAGGCCUUGCGCUCACGGAGCGGCCGAUGGCAGAUUAGGUAGUUGGUGGGAUAAAAGCUUACCAAGCCGACGAUCUGUAGCUGGUCUGAGAGGACGACCAGCCACACUGGGACUGAGACACGGCCCAGACCCCUACGGGAGGCAGCAGUGGGGAAUUUUGGACAAUGGGCGCAAGCCUGAUCCAGCCAUGCCGCGCGCAGGAUGAAGGCCUUCGGGUUGUAAACUGCUUUUGUACGGAACGAAAAGACUCUGGUUAAUACCUGGGGUCCAUGACGGUACCGUAAGAAUAAGCACCGGCUAACUACGUGCCAGCCGCCGCAGUAA
rnacentral:rRNA from 1 species